CAGCCGCCACGGGAAUACGUAGGGUGCAAGCGUUAAUCGGAAUUACUGGGCGUAAAGCGUGCGCAGGCGGUUCGGAAAGAAAGAUGUGAAAUCCCAGGGCUCAACCUUGGAACUGCAUUUUUAACUACCGGACUAGAGUAUGUCAGAGGGAGGUGGAAUUCCACGUGUAGCAGUGAAAUGCGUAGAUAUGUGGAGGAACACCGAUGGCGAAGGCAGCCUCCUGGAAUAAUACUGACGCUCAUGCACGAAAGCGUGGGGAGCAAACAGGAUUAGAGACCCCUGUAGUCCCUGUCUCUUAUAC
rnacentral:rRNA from 1 species